rnacentral:sRNA from 1 species
GGGGGCGUCUUUGGUUUCGACGCAGAUUACAAAACUGUUAUGUGCAUGUCGAGUUGGCAGAUCACCUCGUAAAACUGAAUUGCAAACAAUAUAAUUGCCAAUAACGGUACAUUUGAAGCCGAGGCCGUAGCGGCCUAACUUCCCACUGGCAGUUUGGUGCUUAUAACAAACUGAGCUGAAAGGCAUCCAGUGGUCAUUUUUUAUAAGCCUUACUGAUUGGGUGCUCAGACAAUCAAGUAGGUAGAUCUGAGAUCGUGAAAUCUUAGCCUGCUUAAUCAGCUAAGAUUAAUCACUAAAUUGAUGAUUAGGCUAAACAUGUAGAUCAUUCAGCGGCGGAUUUGUGGACGCGGGUUCGAAUCCCGCCGCCUCCACCA